rnacentral:rRNA from 1 species
CUACGGGUUGCUCCAGUCGGGUAACUUUUGCAAUGCGCGCAAGCGUGACAAAGCAAGCCAGAGUGUUUCUCUUAUUAGAGAAACUUUUAUCUGCUGUAAAAAGGCAGAUGAAUAAGGACUGGGAAAGACCGGUGCCAGCCGCCGCGGUAAUACCGGCGGUCCGAGUCGCAACCAUAUUUAUUGGGUCUAAAACAUCCGUAGCUUGUUCUGCAAGUCUCUUGUGAAAUCUUAUAUCUCAAGUAUAGGGUGUGCAAGAGAUACUACAUUACUAGAGACUGGAAGACGUAGCGAGUACAAUUGAGGUAAUGGUUAAAUAUGUUAAUCUUGAUUGGACUAACAAUGGCGAAGGCACGCUACGAGGACAGUUCUGACAGUGAGGGAUGAAGGCUAGGGGCGCAAAAUGGAUUAGAUACCCUCGUAGUC